AUGGCGCUGCAAGUGGCGCGGACCCUGCCGGCUAUGGCCUUGCAGCCUGCACUGGGCCUCGCCCUGCCCACCGUGGUCCUGGCAGCUGGAAGCAGGCGCGGUCUGGACGCUGCACACGGACCCGCUCUGCUGGCAGUGCGUAAAUUGACGGAGAAACAUGAACGAGUGACAGCAGAGAACAGUGUUAGAACAGUGGGAAUCAGCAAUUUUGCACAGGAAGCUUUGAGAGAUGUUGUUUACUGUAGUCUACCUGAAGUUGGGACAAAAUUAAACAAACAAGAUGAGGUUGGUGCUUUGGAAAGUGUGAAAGCUGCUAGUGAACUCUAUUCUCCUUUAUCAGGAGAAGUAACUGAAAUUAAUGAAGCUCUGGCAGAAAAUCCAGGACUUGUCAACAAAUCUUGUUAUGAAGAUGGUUGGCUGAUCAAGAUGACCCUGAGUGACCCUUCAGAACUAGAUGAACUGAUGAGUGAAGAAGCUUAUGAGAGAUACGUAAAAUCUAUGGAGGAGUGAAAAUGGAACUCCUAAAUAAACCAGUGUGAAAUAACUUAAUCCAGCAUAGUUGUCUUUAAUUAGUGGUGGAUAGGUGGCUUAAAAUAGCAACUACUCUCAGCACUGCUAAUGAAAGAAAAUAGUCCUUAACUUUCUAAUGGUUGUAGAUAAACAAAAUAUGCAUCUCUUUCAAAAUACCCUAUGAUUUUUAGACUAGCCUGUAGUAUUCAUAUUUCAUGAAAUUAUCCAUGGUAAAAACUAGUUAUAAAAAUCAUGUAAUAAAAGGAUAACAUUGUUAUAUUAAGCCUUAUAUAAUAUUGUAACUUGCUUACAUCCAUACCAGGAUUUGAGUUGGAAUACUUAAUGAUCUUUCCAUUGGAAUUAACUGGGAGUGGAAAAGUUUUUCUUGGUUGU